CUGCAAGCUUCUUUUGGUGGACAAAAAAAUCACCAACGCAAGGGAUCUUAUCAAUGUUUUGGAGGAGGCCAUAAGAGGUGCAUACCCAAUUCUGAUAAUUGCUGAGGAUAUUGAGCAGGAGGCUCUUGCUACUCUUGUUGUCAACAAGCUUAGAGGGUCAUUGAAAAUUGCCGCUAUCAAAGCCCCUGGUUUUGGUGAGCGCAAGACCCAGUACUUGGAUGAUAUUGCCAUUCUAACUGGAGCAACUGUAAUCAGGGAUGAAGUUGGGCUGUCACUUGACAAGGCAGACAAAUCAGUUUUAGGAACGGCUGCAAAGGUGGUCCUUAACAAAG
rnacentral:misc_RNA from 1 species